rnacentral:rRNA from 1 species
GAGUUUGAUCCUGGCUCAGGACGAACGCUGGCGGCGUGCUUAACACAUGCAAGUCGCGGGGGGUGAGCAAUCACUCACCGGCGAACGGGUGCGUAACACGUGAGCGACCUGCCCACUUGUGGGGUAUAGCCGGCCCAACGGCCGGGUAAUCCCGCAUACGCUUCUCUGGCUGCAUGGCCGGGGGAGGAAAGCCGUAAGGCGCAAGUGGAGGGGCUCGCGGCCUAUCAGCUAGUUGGCGGGGUAACGGCCCACCAAGGCGAUGACGGGUAGCUGGUCUGAGAGGAUGGCCAGCCACAUUGGGACUGAGAUACGGCCCAGACUCCUACGGGAGGCAGCAGUGGGGAAUCUUGCGCAAUGGUCGAAAGACUGACGCAGCGACGCCGCGUGCGGGAGGAAGCCCUUCGGGGUGUAAACCGCUGUUACUCGGGACGAACUUCCCGAUUUGUCGGGAUUGACGGUACCGGGGGAGGAAGCACCGGCUAACUCUGUGCCAGCAGCCGCGGUAAUACAGAGGGUGCGAGCGUUGUCCGGAAUCACUGGGCGUAAAGGGCGCGUAGGCGGCUUCUCACGCGUGCGGUGAAAGCCCGGGGCUUAACUCCGGGUCUGCCGUGCGAACGGGGAGGCUUGAGUCUGGUAGAGGUCGAUGGAAUUCCGGGUGUAGCGGUGGAAUGCGUAGAGAUCCGGAAGAACACCGGUGGCGAAGGCGGUCGACUGGGCCAGUACUGACGCUGAGGCGCGACAGCGUGGGGAGCAAACAGGAUUAGAUACCCUGGUAGUCCACGCCGUAAACGAUGUCAACU